rnacentral:rRNA from 1 species
AUUGAACGCUGGCGGCAGGCCUAACACAUGCAAGUCGAACGGUAACAGGAAGAAGCUUGCUUCUUUGCUGACUAGUGGCGGACGGGUGAGUAAUGUCUGGGAAACUGCCUGAUGGAGGGGGAUAACUACUGGAAACGGUAGCUAAGACCGCAUAACGUCGCAAGACCAAAGAGGGGGACCUUCAGGCCUCUUGCCAUCGGAUGUGCCCAGAUGGGAUUAGCUAGUAGGUGGGGGAACGGCUCACCUAGGCGACGAUCCCUAGCUGGUCUGAGAGGAUGACCAGACACCCUGGAACUGAGACACGGUCCAGACUCCUACGGGAGGCAGCAGUGGGGAAUAUUGCACAAUGGGGCAAAGCCUGAUGCAGCCAUGCCGCGUGUAUGCAGAAGGCCUUCGGGUUGUAAAGUACUUUCAGCGGGGAGGAAGGGAGUAAAGUUAAUACCUUAGCUCAUUGACGUUACCCGCAGAAGAAGCACCGGCUAACUCCGUG